rnacentral:tRNA from 1 species
UCCGUUAAACAAAAUAAAAACGGACUGUUAAUCCGUAUGUCACUGGUUCGAGUCCAGUUGCCCGAGCCA